AGUGGCGAACGGGUGAGUAAUACAUCGGAACAUAUCCAGUAGCGGGGGAUAACCUAUCGAAAGAUUGGCUAAUACCGCAUACGAUCCACGGAUGAAAGCGGGGGACCGCAAGGCCUCGCACUAUUGGAGUGGCCGAUGUCAGAUUAGCUAGUUGGUGGGGUAAAAGCCUACCAAGGCGACGAUCUGUAGCUGGUCUGAGAGGACGAUCAGCCACACUGGAACUGAGACACGGUCCAGACUCCUACGGGAGGCAGCAGUGGGGAAUUUUGGACAAUGGGCGCAAGCCUGAUCCAGCCAUGCCGCGUGAGUGAAGAAGGCCUUCGGGUUGUAAAGCUCUUUCGGUGAAGACGAAACGGUUAGCGUUAAUAACGCUGACUAAUGACGGUACUCACAGAAGAAGCACCGGCUAACUACGUGCCAGCAGCCGCGGUAAUACGUAGGGUGCAGGCGUUAAUCGGAAUUACUGGGCGUAAAGCGUGCGCAGGCGGUUUGCUAAGACAGGUGUGAAAUCCCCGGGCUUAACCUGGGAAUUGCGCUUGUAACUGGCAAGCUAGAGUGUGGCAGAGGGGGGUGGAAUUCCACGUGUAGCAGUGAAAUGCGUAGAUAUGUGGAGGAACACCGAUGGCGAAGGCAGCCCCCUGGGUUAACACUGACGCUCAGGCACGAAAGCGUGGGGAGCAAACAGGAUUAGAUACCCUGGUAGUCCACGCCCUAAACUAUGUCAACUAGU
rnacentral:rRNA from 1 species